UACGGGGGGGGGCAAGCGUUGUUCGGAAUUACUGGGCGUAAAGCGCGCGUAGGCGGCUUUUUCAAGUCGGGCGUGAAAGCCCCGGGCUUAACCCCGGGAAUGGCGGUGGAUACUGACAAGCUAGAGUGCGGUAGAGGAGGGUGGAAUUCCCGGUGUAGCGGUGAAAUGCGUAGAGAUCGGGGAGGAACAUCAGUGGCGAAGGCGGCCCUCUGGACCAGCACUGACGCUGAGGCACGAAAAGCGUGGGGGAGCAAACAGG
rnacentral:rRNA from 1 species